rnacentral:misc_RNA from 2 species
AACGCACAUUGCGCCCAUUAGUAUUCUAUUGGGCAUGCCUGUUCGAGCGUCAUUUCAACCCUCAAGCCUAGCUUGGUGUUGGGAAUCUACUGUACGCGGUGCUACCCUGUAGUUGCCCUGUAGUUCCCCAAAUCCAGCGGCGGAGUUGCAGUAAUCUCUGAGCGUAGUAAUUUUUUCUCGCUUUGGUAGGUGCUAUAAUUCUUGCCGUUAAACCCCCCAAUUUUUAAUGGUUGACCUCGGAUCAGGUAGGAAUACCCGCUGAACUUAA